rnacentral:rRNA from 1 species
UUGCCUCAGUAACGGCGAGUGAAGCGGCAACAGCUCAAAUUUUAAAGCUGGCGUCUUCGACGCCCGCGUUGUAAUUUGGAGAGGCAUCUUCGGUUUGGGCGCCAGCCUAUGUUCCUUGGAACAGGACGUCACAGAGGGUGAGAAUCCCGUGCUUGGCUGGCUGUCCCUUGCCAUGUGAAGUGCCUUCGACGAGUCGAGUUGUUUGGGAAUGCAGCUCAAAAUGGGUGGUAAAUUCCAUCUAAAGCUAAAUAUUGGCGGGAGACCGAUAGCGCACAAGUAGAGUGAUCGAAAGAUGAAAAGCACUUUGAAAAUAGAGUUAAAAAGUACGUGAAAUUGUUGAAAGGGAAGCGCUUGAGACCAGACUCGGCCGGAGAUGAUCAGCCGUCCUUCUGGGCGGUGCACUUGUCUCCGGUCGGGCCAGCAUCGGUUGAGACGGCGGGAUAAAGGCCCGGGGAAUGUGGCUCCUUUCGGGGAGUGUUAUAGCCCCGGACGCAAUGCCGCCAGCCUCGACCGAGGACCGCGCUUUUUGCUAGGAUGCUGGCGUAAUGGUCUUCAGCGACCCGUCUUGAAACACGGACCAAGGAGUCUAACAUCUAUGCGAGUGUUUGGGUGUCAAACCCUUGCGCGUAAUGAAAGUGAACGGAGGUGGGAACCCCCUCGCGGGGCGCACCAUCGACCGGUCCUGAUGUCUUCGGAUGGAUCUGAGUAGGAGCAUAGCUGUUGGGACCCGAAAGAUGGUGAACUAUGCCUGAAUAGGGUGAAGCCAGAGGAAACUCUGGUGGAGGCUCGCAGCGGUUCUGACGUGCAAAUCGAUCGUCAAAUUUGGGUAUAGGGGCGAAAGACUAAUCGAACCAUCUAGUAGCUGGUUCCUG